rnacentral:rRNA from 1 species
CAGUCGCCGCGGUAAUACGAAGGGUGCAAGCGUUAAUCGGAAUUACUGGGCGUAAAGCGUGCGUAGGCGGUUCGUUAAGUCUGUUGUGAAAGCCCCGGGCUCAACCUGGGAAUGGCAAUGGAUACUGGCGAGCUAGAGUAUGUCAGAGGAUGGUGGAAUUCCCGGUGUAGCGGUGAAAUGCGUAGAGAUCGGGAGGAACAUCAGUGGCGAAGGCGGCCAUCUGGGACAACACUGACGCUGAGGCACGAAAGCGUGGGGAGCAAACAGGAUUAGAUACCCGAGUAGUCCCUGUCUCUUAUAC